AACAACUGAAGCCAAGGAGGCGCUUCAGGGCCAGGGAUGGUUGGCCAUUGAAAGGAUGCAGCCCGACACGGAUGUUGGAAUGGCCAGGACACUAAACCCGCUUCGGCGGGUUUUUU
rnacentral:sRNA from 1 species